rnacentral:tRNA from 1 species
AGUUCCAUAGUGUAGUGGUUAUCACGUUCGCCUAACACGCGACAGGUCCCCGGUUCAAGCCCGGGUGGAACUA